ACAGAAUUAGAACACAGCGACCUGGAGUUCAUGUCAUGCCCCUAUCCCAGAUUCGUGAUGGAACCUUGAACCUCACCCGCUUAUCUCUGAAGUGUAGAAACUUACAGUCCCUACCUCCAGGGAGAGUUGAGGGUUAAACGUUAUAGUGAUGUACAAGUCUGUAAGCUGUAAGGCAAUGGAAAAAUGGAGGGUUUGUCCUUGGAUGAAGCUCCCACCCUGGACAGCAUGGAGAACCCAGGAGUCAGGCGGGGCUGCUGGCUCACAGGAAUUCAAAUGAGGCGACAACAGAGGAAACAGCGUGAUUAAGGAAUUGUUAUUCAUUCGCUGUACAUCAUUACCACCCAGAAUUCAUCACCAGAUCAUUCACAGAUGGAGUCGCUGAACUAUGAUUAUAUUUUAGAAAAUGAAAGGGGACAAAUCUAAAAAGGCAAUAAAACAAAUUAGAAGCCUU